UUACCAAAACGCAUUCUCCAUGUUGACCAGUAUACGCAUCUUCUUGAUUCAUUGUGAAACUUCCAUGAUCCCAAGGAAUUAGCUCAGCUGGGGUGCAAGGGAGGUAAGCAUCGAAUUGGAAUUCCUCAAACACGAGUUGUAUAGUAUUGUGUUCUAUGGAAGGCAUUGUAAAUACGGGCUGUGUAAGCAGUAAAGAAUAGUCUGCCAUGCUAGGUUCCAUCACACCUACAUUGCGCAUUACCAAGUCCCAUACGGCUGUUUCUGUGCUCCAAUGGACCAAAUACCCCUACUAGUAUUAGUAAACAUAAUCUUUGUAUUUAUUUUGUUCGUAAAUAAUACUCCCUCAUAAAUGCUGUACCUUUUCAUGCGCCCUGCGAAAUUGUAAAGUUGUAAAGUCGUUACAGUUGGCCAAUUCAUUCCCCAAAAAUAAUCUGUUUCCAUCUUUUGAUCUCGUCAAACAAUUCGGAAUUUCACUAAAAACUAUCGUUAGCUGAAAAAAGUAAAAGAUACAUGAAAUUUAUUGACGUGAUGCACUUCUUCUUACACAACUUUUCCACCUGCAAAUCCAGCUUUUAUAUGGUAUGCCCCAUUGUCUAAAACAAUAGUUUUAGGGGGUAGUCCCAUAUUAUUAAUAAAAAUGUAUUCCUAUAUCUUAGGUCUUAACUUCACCCAAAAACCGCGAUUAAAUGUACUGUUGUUACGGCUUUGGAAUGCUGUUAUAUGAUAGCGUUGUGCUAUAACAACAAUAUCAUUACAGUUUGAAGCAAUAGUAUAAUAACGCUGGCUCUUAAAGAUAUUUAUGAUAUUUUUAAUAAUAUCAUAAAUUUGAAGGAUAUCUUUUUAAAAUAACUUUAAAGAUAAAUCUUGCAAAUCUUAGCUUUAUCAAUAUAACAACAUCGUUAAUGGGGGGCUGUCUAUCAAAUUUAGUUUGUAAAAGCCGUUUAUCAUAUUAUCCAACCCCUAAACUAGCCGUUAUCAAUUUAGUUAGCUGCUUAAUUCAACGUACAUCUAAUAUACCAUUCAUAAACACCGACUUUCCCUAUACUACUAAAUCGUGGAUACUUAACUUUAUGCUUAUUUCCUCAAGAAAAAUAUAUUUCUAUUUCAUUUUCUCAUCAACUUGCGUUUGUCAAUUCGCAUAAAGUAAAAGCAAAUGAACUAGUAUUAAUCGAUUUUAAAACUUCUCAUAUUUAUUAACUGGUAUAUUAUGAUUUUAAAUUUCAUUUAAUCAAUUGGCGUUCCAAAAUUCUUAUAAAAGAAACACACCUCUGCGUUUGUUUUCACCGAACUGUAAACCGAUACAACAAUAAUUUUCUUAGCCUUCCCUUUAGACAAACCCUCCAUCCAUUUUUCCCAAGCCAUAAUUCCGGGUCGUAUCUCAUUGAAGAAAUUAUUUUUACAAACCCGUAGAGUUUGAUUUCCCAUUUAAAAAGAGCCGUUCAAAUAUGUCAGUUUGGCUUAUUACCACUGUGUAGAAAAUGCUUGUUUUAUAUUUUUAUAUUUUAUUACCAAAAUUGGACAGGCUUAGAGCGCCAAACAGGCUCAUGUUUUAUCGGAAGCGACAGCAAGGGUAGAGGGUUUUUCAGUUACCAAUCUCUGUAAGGAUUGCUGCUCGGAUGCUUCCAAAUUUUUGACAAGAUCUUGUAAUGUGACAGGGCUGUUGUCCUUUAAAUGAACCAUAAACUCUUGGAAAAGUGAAAAUGGAUCAACUUGAUCUAACAAAGUAUGGAAAAGAGGAUCCUCGUCCAACAAGUAAUUUCCUUGGAAAUGCUCAAAUUCGUCAAAAUCGUCAACCACAUCAGCCGAGAUUUCUCCACCCAAAUCAGGUCCCCCAUAUUCGACGGCAAAGUCAUCGACACCCUCAUCAUCAUCGGCUUCCCAAUCGAUGCCAUCAUUCCAACCAGAGCCAGAUAAAUUAAAUGUUUCACCGUCAUACUCUUUUUCUAAUUCCGCGCGAGCAGCUAAUGCUUCAGGUAGUGUAUUUAAAAGAGUUAUCAUGACUUUCAUUAUAUUACCCCAAGAGUCUUGGAUAGCAACAGCAACUUGUUGAGCUCCCAGUGAAAUUACCGAUAAAAUAGCUACCAAACUCAACUUUUUAUCAUGCACACGAGUAAACGAAGGUAUAUUUUCAAACCAUAACGCAAAGAAUGGUAAAGUCCACUGAUGCAUUUCAAGUACCCCAAGAGACAUCGAUGGGUUAUAAUAUAAUGCAUUGAUUAUAACCUCCAACAAAAAUACGCGGUAUGUUUGAGAAGUUGGCUUUUCAGUUACAAGUAAGAGAUUACCAGCAACCUCAAUAAACGCAGGCACAUAUUGAUCCAAAAGGCCACGAUAAUUAAGCAUUAAAAGUUCGGUUAGUUUACAAGCCGAAACACGGUCAUUGACGGCCAGGUGCUCGCUAUUAAAAACUUGCAUGAUAAUAUCAACCAUAACGGCGAUAUAAUCAGGACGGGAAGCAAAUUCCUUUCCACCAUACGUGAUAAAGUUACUUAAGGCAGGAGUUGCCUCCUCUACAAACUCAAUGCCAGACUCUUUCAACACCUUUUGAAGCUUUUCAUACACGCCCCACAUAAUAGGGGAUAUCUCCUUAGAAGCAAAAGUGCAACCAUCGAUAAUUUCAAACAACUCUGCAUACACGUCAAAAAUGUUGUUAUCUAAUACAAAAUUAAUCAUUGGAAGUAAGAUUGCUUCAAUUUCACGUAAGACAUCAACCGUGUUCUCGAGACUUAAAAUCAUUGUACUGAGAGUAUUUAAAAUGCCAAUAGCCGCAAUCGAUUUAUCAUCAACUAAGGAGUCAAAAUCAUCUACGGUAGUAGAUUCGUCCAUGGUUUCUUGCAUAAGCUUGACGAAGGUAUUGCGAAGUUGUUUAGCCAAUUGUGAAGCAAAAGGUGUUAACUCGUGACUAAAAGAACUUACAAAUUCCUCCAUACAAGAAGAUAAAGCAUCAAUAUCAACUUCAUUCGCCAGAAAUAGGAGAUUUUGCAUAAUGAUGGGUACAUGGGCGGUCAUAACAUCGUGUACCUCCAGAUGACGCAUAAGUGGUUGCAAAGCUAAAGCAGCUUGAAUUCUCACAGGUAAAUCGUUAUCUUGAAGACAAUUCAAAACUGCCUGGUAUGCAUUCAAAAGCUGCGAUUUAUCACUCCAAUCAAUUUCUGAAAACCGAUUGAUCAUUUCACAAGCUCGAGAUCGUAAAUAACCAACUGGGCUAGUAAAUUCGGGCAUAACGUGAGCGACAAGGAAAUCUUGCAUCAUGCCUGCAACAGGGGAGUUCUUAGAAAGGAUGGAAUUAGAUACAGCAGCAACCAUACGAAGUGCACCUUCUUUCUGGCGAGGAUUUUUUUCAUUAGGAGGUGAAGCGGCGUAUUGGUUCAGGAUGUCACUGGCGAAGGAAAGAAUACCCAUGAACGUAUAUUUCUUGCGUUUCGAUGCUAAUUUCACAAGGAACCGUGAAGCAGCAACAUCAGCAGAAUUGAAAUCAUCAUAGAUAUCAAUAUAUUUGUGAAUAAACUCUACUGGAUCAAGUUCCCAAAGUUCUUCAUCUUCUUCGCUCAUACAUAAUUGAGGAAACACAAAGCUGCCAAUCAAUAGUUGAAGAUGAGGCUUGAGGAGUGCCCAAGUGGACUUUGGCUUCACACACUCUUCAUAGAAGCAUCCCAAAAAAUACAAAACACGGGGAGAUAACCAGAGCUGACCUUGAGUCCAAAGAAUAGUUUGUUGAAUGUAUGUCUCCAGAAUGUUGGGAACAACAUUUGUAAUGAAGUUCUUUGCAAAAGCACGGUAUUUGUUUGCAGAAUCACCCACCAAAGAGCUAGGCUCUCCAUAUCUAGUGAAUAUUCUAUUCAAAGAAUAAUACGCCCAUUUUUUACAUUUAUGCCAAACAUGAGAUUGACGGACCUCUGGUUCAAGCGACAUCAAAGAUUCGGGGAGAGGUUUUUGCACCACUGCUAAUAAAAGCUGGAUCCAGGAAAGAAUCAUAUCGUUAGCAAGUAACUCCGGAGGAAGCUCAAGGGCAAUGACAGAUUUAAAUGUCUUUAAAAUAAGACGAAGCAUUUCGGCUGAAUCAUUGUCUUCAAGAUUGAUAAGACCCUGACCAAGUUGAAGAAUAGUGGGGAAAAGUGCUGCGACUAACGGACCAAUGUCACGUUGACGGUCAUCCAAACGCCAGCGGUAUACUUUAGCCAACUCAUGAAAACAAAUAAGACCAGCAUACACCUCACAACGUUCGGUUGAGUGAACGAGGUUAGAAGUGUAUUCGCUGAAUCCGGGCCAAUAUUCGGGGAAAUCGGUUGACAAGAUGAUAUUAAGGAUCGCCAUCAAAUGAGACCUUGUCGACAUUGGGCUUUGCAAGAGCACCGGAAGAAUGUUUUGCCUGAACAAAGCUUUUUGCUCUUCCGGAAUAUCCAAAGGUGAUGGAGCAUCAUCGAUACUAGACCAAGAACGAGAUACCCGAUUUUUUAAAUAAAUAACGGCUAAAUUCAAUAAUGUUAGCUAUAACAUCUUCAAGACAUGAUAAUGAAUUAAAUAGGAAUUGAGUAAACAAAUCAGGUUCUCAACCAAAAAAAAAAAUAAAUAAAUAAAUAAAAAGAUGAGAAUGCCUAAGAAAACAGAAGGAUAAUUAAUUAAAAAUGAAAUUAAUAGCUUUUUUUUGUGCUAAUACAAAAUAAAAAAAAUUUUGAGAUACAGUACGAUAACAUUAUAACCUUUCAUCACGUAUUCAAAAGAGCUCUAACUAAGAAUUAUGCAAACAGCAAAAAUUCUAGAUACGGUUUCAAGGUAAUUCCUAUUUCUCAAACAAUUCACACUUACCUGCCUGUUGAGUAGGCAAAGAAAUUUCUUGACUACUUAAAAGUUGUAAAACCGCCAAAACAAAACUGGGCUCUUUUUCUAACUGUUUUAGUGAAAGUUCGGCCUUAGUGCGAGUGUUGGGAUCAGCGCUCAAAGUCGCAUCGAAAUGCUCAACCAAAGACAUUUUGCAUCUGUCCGAAAUCGCAAAAUGAAAUAUAAAACUUUUAGUUUGCUGUGGUUACACAAAAAACUUCUACAUACUGAGGAAUACUUUCAAGGAAACUGAGUGUGCUAUAAAAUAAUAUGGUAAAAAUCAUAACGCACUCUCUUAGAGUGCAGAAUAUUUUAGCUACGCAGUUUGGUAUCUGAUUUAAGGAUACGUAGAACUGCGGUGAGUUUUCCUUGUGAUCUAUUAUAUUGCAAUACACAUGUGAUAUAAGUAGCAACUGAGUAUAGGUAUUGUAUUAACUAGGUUAUAAUGUUACCUACCACUAAUAUAGCUCAUAACUGAACUGAGGAACGAGGUUCAGUUGGAACUCUAUUUAUAAUAUUUCUAAGUAAUUGUUAUCAACGGGUAUCUAUGAAUAUAGACGGAUAGUUACCCGUGAUGAUCAAUAAGCG